rnacentral:rRNA from 1 species
GACGAACGCUGGCGGCGUGCUUAACACAUGCAAGUCGAGCGGUAAGGCCCUUUCGGGGGUACACGAGCGGCGAACGGGUGAGUAACACGUGGGUGACCUGCCCUCAGCUCUGGGAUAAGCCUGGGAAACCGGGUCUAAUACUGGAUAUGACUCCAUGACGCAUGUUGUGGGGUGGAAAGCCUUGUGCGGCUGAGGAUGGGCCCGCGGCCUAUCAGCUUGUUGGUGGGGUGANGGCCUACCAAGGCGACGACGGGUAGCCGGCCUGAGAGGGCGACCGGCCACACUGGGACUGAGACACGGCCCAGACUCCUACGGGAGGCAGGCAGUGGGGAAUCUUGCGCAAUGGGCGAAAAGCCUGACGCAGCGACGCCGCGUGAGGGAUGACGG